rnacentral:rRNA from 1 species
GAUGAACGCUGGCGGCGUGCCUAACACAUGCAAGUCGAGCGAUCUUCUUCGGAAGAGAGCGGCGGACGGGUGAGUAACGCGUGGGUAACCUGCCUCAUACACAUGGAUAACAUACCGAAAGGUAUGCUAAUACAAGAUGAUAUAAGAGAUUCGCAUGGAUUUCUUAUCAAAGCUCCGGCGGUAUGAGAUGGACCCGCGUCUGAUUAGCUAGCUGGUAAGGUAACGGCUUACCAAGGCGACGAUCAGUAGCCGACCUGAGAGGGUGAUCGGCAACAUUGGAACUGAGACACGGUCCAAACUCCUACGGGAGGCAGCAGUGGGGAAUAUUGCACAAUGGGCGAAAGCCUGAUGCAGCAACGCCACGUGAGCGAUGAAGGCCUUCGGGUCGUAAAGCUCUGUCCUCAAGGAAGAUAAUGACGGUACUUGAGGAGGAAGCCCCGGCUAACUACGUGCCAGCCGCCGCAGUAAGAC